UAUGAACACCCCCUUUUUUUGUUCACUUUCCUAUUAUUAUUCCCAUAAUUUGUUAACCACAAAAAACAUAUUAAAUUAGAAUGAGUGGAGCAUCAUCACUCCUUGGCCGGCCACCAUGUAUUUUAUGGGUAAUUUGACAUGCAAAGCCAUGCUUCCUCUCCCUAUUAUUAAUUACUCCUUAUAAUUCAUCUAUCAUCUUUUCUAACUUCGUCAACUAGGUCCU
rnacentral:lncRNA from 1 species